rnacentral:rRNA from 1 species
UACGUAUGGAGCAAGCGUUAUCCGGAUUUACUGGGUGUAAAGGGAGCGUAGGCGGCAGUGCAAGUCUGAUGUGAAAACCCGAGGCCCAACCGCGGGAGUGCAUUGGAAACUGUGCUGCUAGAGUGCCGGAGAGGCAGGCGGAAUUCCUAGUGUAGCGGUGAAAUGCGUAGAUAUUAGGAGGAACACCAGUGGCGAAGGCGGCCUGCUGGACGGUAACUGACGCUGAGGCUCGAAAGCGUGGGGAGCAAACA